CAGCGUCAUUAUUCCGUACUUCCUCUGAUUCCAUCUCCUCCAUCCACUGCAGGAGAAUGUCUAGCUCCCCCAAAGCCUUCACCGCGGCUGCGUGAGGCGUAAGCUGAAAGACACACACGUAUGUGGAUGCCUUGAAGACUAUGCCUCGUCUCCAAGGAUGAGUUGGUGUUAGUGAAGAGUGGACUCCAGGCUUCCCCAAAGACAUGCAAAAACAUUAAGCUUGAAGAACUGCAUGUCUCUGGAGUGACUUGAUGGAAUCAUGGCCAUUCCCUCUUGAUUCCCAGAGCAUCUUCCAGAGAUCACACUCUUUUAAGAGCCUGGGUGGGCAUCCCCUGGUUAGAGCAGAGGAACAGUCCGCAUGACCUCAGAGGGCUAUGGACCUGAGAGCUACAGUAUGAAUACUCA